CGCGCCUUCACAUGCAAGUCGAACGGUAACAGGUCUUCGGAUGCUGACGAGUGGCGAACGGGUGAGUAAUACAUCGGAACGUGCCCGAUCGUGGGGGAUAACGAAGCGAAAGCUUUGCUAAUACCGCAUAAGAUCUACGGAUGAAAGCAGGGGACCGCAAGGCCUUGCGCGAACGGAGCGGCCGAUGGCAGAUUAGGUAGUUGGUGGGAUAAAAGCUUACCAAGCCGACGAUCUGUAGCUGGUCUGAGAGGACGACCAGCCACACUGGGACUGAGACACGGCCCAGACUCCUACGGGUGGCAGCAGUGGGGAAUUUUGGACAAUGGGCGAAAGCCUGAUCCAGCCAUGCCGCGUGCAGGAUGAAGGCCUUCGGGUUGUAAACUGCUUUUGUACGGAACGAAAAGACUCUGGUUAAUACCUGGGGUCCAUGACGGUACCGUAAGAAUAAGCACCGGCUAACUACGUGCCAGCAGCCGCGGUAAUACGUAGGGUGCAAGCGUUAAUCGGAAUUACUGGGCGUAAAGCGUGCGCAGGCGGUUAUAUAAGACAGAUGUGAAAUCCCCGGGCUCAACCUGGGAACUGCAUUUGUGACUGUAUAGCUAGAGUACGGCAGAGGGGGAUGGAAUUCCGCGUGUAGCAGUGAAAUGCGUAGAUAUGCGGAGGAACACCGAUGGCGAAGGCAAUCCCCUGGGCCUGUACUGACGCUCAUGCACGAAAGCGC
rnacentral:rRNA from 1 species